rnacentral:lncRNA from 1 species
UGAUAUUUUAAAAUAUAUGUUUUCUUGUCUUCUCUUCUAGAAUCCAUUUUCCAUGUGAGUAGGAAUUAUCAAACAAAACUGCACUGGACAAGUUGUACAGGAUCUAAGUCACUUAGAAACAAUUGAGCUCCAAAGAAGUUUAGCCUCUAUUGUUGUCACCUGCAAGGUUAUUGCUGUUCACAACACCAUGACUUCAUUUCACCACAUGGGAAGAAUGAAAGACGUGUAAGGCAAGUGAUUUUCUUACACAAAAACAUGAUAUGGAAAUUGUGAGCACUGCAUAA